GAUGAACGCUAGCGGCAGGCUUAAUACAUGCAAGUUGAGGGGCAGCAUGAUAUACGCGAGUAUAUUGAUGGCGACCGGCGGACGGGUGAGUAAUAGGUAGGAGACCUACCUCAUACAGGGGGAUAGCAUAGAGAAAUCUGUGGUAAUACCCCAUGAGGUUAUAUGAAUAGAGGCAUAUAAUCAAAGCAUAAGCGAUUAUGCGGUAUGAGAGGGGCCUACUGACCAUUAGCUAGUUGGUGAGGUAAGGGCUCACCAAGGCGAAGAUGGUUAGGGGUUUUGAGAGAGAGACCCCCCACAUUGGAACUGAGAGACGGUCCAGACUCCUACGGGAGGCAGCAGUAGGGAAUAUUGGGCAAUGGGCGAAAGCCUGACCCAGCCAUGCCGCGUGAAGGAAGACGGCCUUAUGGGUUGUAAACUUCUUUACUACGCGAAUAGAGGUUAGUACGAGAUACUAAUAGGAAGGUAGUAGUAAGUAAAAAAGCAACCGGCUAACUCCGUGACCC
rnacentral:rRNA from 1 species